rnacentral:tRNA from 2 species
UCCAUAGCUCAAUUGGAUAGAGCGUCGGUCUACGGAACCGAAGGCUAGGGGUUCGAGUCCCUUUGGUUGC